rnacentral:rRNA from 1 species
GAGUUGCAGACGGUCACUGAGAAGAAGUUCGGAGGAAUUGCACCAAAGAAGCCUCUGAUUUCAAAGGACCAUGAGCGCGCCUACUUCGACUCCGCGGACUGGGUCCUCGGCAAGCAAGCUGCAAGCAACAACGCACAGGCGGCGGCAAUCGAAUCCUUGAAGCCAAAGCUAAAGAGGACGCCCCAUCACCAGCUCCCCCCUCGCAAGCCGGCCUGCGCGUCCGGCUGA